UUUUUAAGGGCGUAUAUAUUCCCAUAUAGAGCACAAUGUUUCCAAGUCCUAACCAGCCAACCGUCGGAUUAACGAGAAAAGACAUAGAAGUACCGGCAAUGCCAGUUAGAGUAGCAAAAAGCCAAGCAUAUUCAGGCCGAAUAGCGCCUCGGGGAAUUGGACGAGAGCGUGUUCUAGCCAUUUGACAGUCUAGCAUAGGUUCCAU